AAUCCCGCCGGAAUCCGGGAGGACCAUCUCCCAAGGCUAAAUACUCCCUAGUGACCGAUAGUGAACCAGUACCGUGAGGGAAAGGUGAAAAGCACCCCGGGAGGGGAGUGAAAGAGAUCCUGAAACCGUGUGCCUACAAGUAGUCAGAGCCCGUUAACGGGUGAUGGCGUGCCUUUUGUAGAAUGAACCGGCGAGUUACGGUCUCAUGCAAGGUUAAGCUGAAGAAGCGGAGCCGCAGCGAAAGCGAGUCUGAACAGGGCGAAAGAGUAUGAGGCCG
rnacentral:rRNA from 1 species